rnacentral:rRNA from 1 species
UACGUAGGGGGCAAGCGUUGUCCGGAAUCAUUGGGCGUAAAGCGCGUGUAGGCGGCCAGAUAAGUCCGCUGUGAAAUCUCGAGGCUCAACUUCGAGCUGUCGGUGGAAACUGUCUGGCUAGAGUCCGGAAGAGGAGAAUGGAAUUCCUGGUGUAGCGGUGAAAUGCGCAGAUAUCAGGAAGAACACCCGUGGCGAAGGCGGGUCUCUGGACAGUUCCUGACGCUGAGGCACGAAGGCCAGGGGAGCAAACGGG